UACGUAGGGGGCAAGCGUUGUCCGGAUUUAUUGGGCGUAAAGAGCGUGUAGGCGGCCAGACAGGUCCGUUGUGAAAACUCGAGGCUCAACCUCGAGACGUCGAUGGAAACCGUCUGGCUAGAGUCCGGAAGAGGAGUGUGGAAUUCCUGGUGUAGCGGUGAAAUGCGCAGAUAUCAGGAAGAACACCCGUGGCUAAGGCGGCUCUCUAGUACGGUACUGACGCUGAGACGCGAAAGCGUGGGGAGCGAACAGG
rnacentral:rRNA from 1 species